AGAAUCACCUGCCUCUUCCUCCCGAGUUCUGGAACUCAUGUGAGGCAUGUGUCGCCAUUGCUUGGUUAUGAAAUGAUAUUUUUGUUAUAGGUUGAUACUUGAUUGUUUUCACAAAUGUCCAAAAUUGUUAUUUUAUGAGUGCAUUUUAAAAUUGUGUAAACUAAUUAGCCCAUGAAGCAUUUUAAACCUCUGGCUACGUCCACCGAGAUGUUCUUCUCCCCAAGUGUGAGGUAGAGGUUUGCGUCCUAGCCCACUGACGCCAGAUAUACAAAAACAGUUCUGGCUCCCGAAGGUUUGUGCCAGCAGCACUAAAUACAAGGCACUUGUCCCCGUAACUACUUUGCGUGACUGCUUGUGACUCUUUAAUCAAUUGCCAACAGACUUGAUUGCUAUAAGUGGAUCUUUUGAAAAACAAAUUCUUGCUUUUUAAAGACGGAUAUUGAUGAAUAUACAUGAAGAUGUAAAGUUUGUAGUUGAGAAAAAUUUAAAAAUUAAAACCCGAGAAACCCCAAAAGAUGACACACUCUGAUUAGCUAUGUAUUAAAACAAACAAACUAACAAACAUGUAUUAAAGAGCUAAGAAAUGACAGGCAUAGGAUGCAAAGCUUUGACCUUCACUCUCAGCCUACUGUUCAUACAUUCACCUUCCUUUGCUUGGAUAAGGAAUGCCUAUUAACAUGUCUCAAAUCUAACAUUCUCAGAUUCCAGUUGACUACUUCUAGAUUUCCUAUUUUUCUGCUACUAAAAAAUGACUCACAUGACUUAACGAUACUGACUUUUCCUCCCUCUCUUCCUUAUUGCUUUAUUCUAUUCAGCAGAAACUCUGCCCAGAGCUAAAAGGAACAAGGAGAGCACAUGACCCUGCACUUUAAACAAGUAAGAAUUAAAUAUUUAUUUAACACCAGCUACAUACUAAAGCACUUUCCAUACAAUAUUCCAAAUAUUCUUCACAAUUAUGCAAAUCAAACAAAUUUUCUUACAUUUAAAGAGGAUCAUGGAAACAGAGGGCAAAACAUUGGUAUUCUCUUUCACACAUCCAGGGUAGGUAGGUACAAGACUCAUCCAUGUGUAUCCUUUCAGAUUACUCAUUCCUCUCCAAUGUGGUAGGACUGCUUGAAUCUUACAUGAGGCCAAUUACAUGUAAUAUCAGCCAGAUACUAGGAACAUUGGCUCUCUUGGAAGGGGACACCUGGCUCCACAGAGAGAAGAGGUUUGGGCUCUAAUAUGGAAAGAUGCCUGGGCUGAACUGAUGGACAAUGACUGAGAUCCACUAGGGGAAAAUGUCUGGGUUCCACUGGGGAGGAUGCCUGGGCUACAGUAGGGGAGGAUGCUUGAGCUACAGUGAGGGAAGAUGCCUAGGUUGCAUUGGGAGGUGAUACCUGAGAGUCAUUGGAAUAUAUGCCUAGACUUCAUUGAGUGAAGAUGUCUGGGUUCCACUAGGAGAAAUACCUGGCUCCAUUAGGUUCUGUUGGGAAGAUAUGUUUGAGAUCCACUGGGGAAGAUGCCUGGACUCUACUGGAAAAAAGAUGCUUGUCAUCCUCUGGGAGAUAACAUGAUUAUUUUGAAAAAUAAAUGCAUACUGUGUCAGCUGCAAAAAGCCCUUCAUAACUCUGUAACAGUAGCUAUGCCUGUGUACAGUGUUGGACUUGACACUUGCUCAAUUUGUUAGAUUAAUGGGCUCAUUCAAAUACCAUUGGCCAUAAACAGUGGGGGACGGAUAUGCUAAGCUCAUAGGGGUUUACAGGGGACUUUUCUUAUCAUCAAAGUGUCAUCACUGAUGCUUGUUAGUAAGAUCGGAAGCCUUAUGCUCAAGGACCUUUGGUUCUCUGAGGAAGCCAGUCUGUGAAACCAAGGUGCCAUUAUGGCCAAUCACUGUCUUAUCCAGCAACAUAAACUGGAAAUUGUUUCCCAUGUGCUGUUCAUGACAACUUAUGGUUGGUCACCUGUCUCUGUUUUAUUGCCUAUUAAUCUUUAAUAUUAUACUAACUGGCAGCAUAAAGCCACCAUUUGGAAGCCCCAGGAUGUUAAAGAACAGUAGCCCCAUAGACCCUGCCAAUUCCAAUUUCUUUAAUGUUUAGGAUCAUUAAGUGGAAGAAAGACACCACUUCAAAGUCAUUAUACUUCCAAUAUUCAGACCAAGCAGCAGUCGUUCUUGACUGGUGUGGUUCAAUUCUUCAAAAAGACACAGUUCUGUUCUUGAAGGGCUAGGCUUGACAAACUAUCAUUACAGUUUUCAAAAUGGCAACGUGAACAUGCUAUGUACAAAUGACAUUCCUUUUUUAUUAGUCUACAGGUUUAUGUCUUUAACCAGUGCUAGUAUGUUUUGGGUUUUGUGUUAGUCACCGAGGAGGAAUAUGAGAGAAUCAUGGGCCAUCUUAAUCAAGAGAACGAGCAGUCUACGUGUAUUCACAAGAACCACCACAAAACUAUCAACUAAAUUAAAGGAAAUCAGACUUUCAGGAGUCAGCCUGAGGGUGGACCCAGCGGCACAGCAGAUUCACUCUUAUCACAAGAAUCAGUGGCAGAGAUAUGGACAAGAAUGACACAGACAGUCCUGUGUAGCUCCUCAUUGCUAUUGGAAGGUGAAAUGGCUCAGAUACGAGCAUUGAAACAGAGAGAAGCUAAAUCAUUUUCAUAAUGGACAUUUCCAUGAAGAGAUAAAGCUGAGAUCUGAACCCAACUAUUUGGACUCCAAGUUUCUGACUCUCAGAUGUACAUUCCUGGACAAAGCAGAAUCUUUUAGUAUACUAGCUUUCUGCUAGAAUGGAAAUAAUUAUGUUGUAUUGGCAUAUAUCUAAGAUAAAUAAGUAGUAUUUUCUUCUCUUACUGUAGAUUAUGGAAUUGGAACUGAGAUAUAAAAGUAUCCAGAAAUUAUGAAGGACAUAAAGAGCAGGGUUAAGAUUUCAGCCAAACUUGGUUCUACCACCUUAUAUGAGUUUGCUUUUGGUUACUGUGAUCCAAGUAACUGAGAGAGAAAGAGAUAUUUGACUCAUAGCUUCAUAAGCAUCAGCCCAUAUUUGUUUGGUUCUGUGUGCUUGAACAGGAUAUUGUGGCAAACAAGGAAUGGAACUGUUUAGUUUGUGAUCAAUCAGGAAGAAGUAUGAUGGGGGACAGCCAAAGAUAAGAGAACCCUCUUUCUUUGAGAAAAUGAGUCACUUUCUUCAAUUCCUUUUGUCUCCUAAGUUUCCAUCAUCCUAUAAAGUACUAUCUAAUCAUGAGCCUUUGGUGUAGAGCAUUUCAUAUUCAAAUUGUAGCUCCAGUUUCUGCCUCCCCAACAUAGUACUUUUAUUGAUUAUUUGGGAAUUUAACACAAUUCUCCCAGAUUACAUUCACUUCCCAGUCUUACUAAUCCCCUCCCCUGAUCCUUUUGGCCUCCCCUCCUCCAAAAAACAAAAUAGGAAAUCAAAUCCAAUUUGUGUUGUUCAUAUAUUCACUGGAGCAUGGUCAAACACAUGGUGGCCAGCUUAAAAAAAUGUAUCUUUCCCCUAAUCCCUAACUUCACCAGAAGCCAUCAAUGGUGAAGAGCUACACUCCAGCAUCUCUCUAACAACUUUUAAUAUUUCAGUGGCUUUCUGUCUAGACUGUUUCUUUUGUGGGGGUUGCAGGUGGGGAGGGAAAAGUCACAUGUCAUUCUCAAUAGCUCGUCCACCAGAUGGUUGCUAAGAUAAUGACAGUCAAGAGAGUCGGAAGGUGACAGAAGAAGCAGCAGAGGAAGCAGAAGCAGAGGAGGAGGACAAGGGGGAGGACAAAGGGGUAAGGACAGGGAAGGAGGAGGGAGAAGAGGAGAGAGAAUGCAAGAUUUGCUUUCCUGAGGCCUUCCUCCUCUUUGGGACUUGGAUUAAUAGAAUAAUGUAGAAUUUAAAGACAGUCUGCUCUGCAUGAACACCCUGGAGCAAAUUCCCUUAUCCUUAUUACUCAUACUGUCUACAUGUCACUUCGCAUUUAUAUAGUGGUCCAUUGGUAACAUUGUCUGAUCAGAAGCCGGAUCCAUUUCCCUGUUUAAACACGAAGUUGCCCACAAUAUGGAAAUGUUGUAGAAAAUGACCUGUACUGAAUAGGAUUUUGUUUUUACAGGAAAAUUAUAACUCGUACUUGCAGGUUUUAAAUUUAAGACUUUUUUCUCCUUUCAUAUAAAUGGAAAUAAUAUUGAACUAUUGUUAAAUGCUCCAAAGGGCAUGAGAGUAGAGAAAUGAGUAAAGAGGGGGAGGUGCAGGCUGACAUUUAUGCUGACUCAGCUUAGAGCUGCAAGAUGAAAGGAAGGAGUCUAAGCUGUCUCGCAGGAUUCCAUACCAAUCAUGUUAAUUGGAAACUGGAAGGAAGAAGUGGUCACAAUCAACAGAUUUAUCACCCAAAGGGCAGAGCAGUUCAUAAAUUUAAUCCAGCAAAAGAAUUAGGAAAUAGAAUUGAUGCUUAUAAGAAUCAGGGCAGGGGUGGUGAGACCUCUCCAAAUAACCUUUCCCAGGCAGACGGCUGGAAGUGCUUGAAUGUAUUUUAUUCGAAGCUAUUAGAAAUAUGAAAAGAGGCCUCUCUCUCCCAGCCCCUGGCUGAAGCAUUGUAACUUCUUUUUUAUAGUCUUUAUAAAAGAAGAGCAAUAAAGAGACACAAACAGGGUAGUAAAGUUUAAUGGUGAUAAAAUCCAGACACCUGAAUAUAUGUAAUUUAUUUUUCCCAAGACCUCACCCCAUUGAGGUUGCUAUUAAUUAGCAUGGAAAUGUGUUACAGAGCCAAUUUUGCAUGAGGUUUGUUAUCUUGGGUACUUUAUGAAAAGGAAAAAACAAAACAACCAGAAAAAACGUUUGUCACUUCAUUGCAGCGAGGUGGAGGAAAGUCACCAAAAACAGCCUGGGGGCUCCAUGUGCAAAAAUGAGAUGCCAUCUCUCCAGAGUCCCAUCAGAAGCUCCUUCCACCAGAGGAAGGCGUCCCUGUAACAAAGAAAUGCAAUCCAUCCCGUGUUGGCUAGUAUUAGUUGUUCACUCCAUAUAAUCCAGAAUCACCUGGGAAGGGAGUUUCAGCAUGGGACUGUCAAGAUCAGAUUGGCCAGUGAGGAUGUCUAUGGAGUUGUCUUGAUUAUCCUAAUUGAUGUAGGAAGAGCCAGUUCACCGUGAGCCACCCCAGUCCCUGAGUAUGGGUCCCGUACUACACAACAAUGGGGAGACUGAGCUAAACAGCAAACAUGCAUUUGCUUUUUCUGCUGUGGCUAUGGGUCUACUGUGAUUAGCUUUUUAAGUUUCUGCUGCCUUGACUCCACCACUGUGAUAGACAGUAAUCUAGAAGUGUGAGCUAAAAGAAACUCUAUCUUUCUUAAAUUUCUGUUGUUUGGGGAGAAUUUUAUCGCAGCAACAGGAAUGAGAUGAAGAUACCUCCUGAGUUCCACCAAGAGCAUCUUUCAACUGUGAGGGAGGCAGCAAUCAUGUGAGGAAACCCAAUAUCUGAGGUCCUACCACCAUGAUAACGAAUGGAUCUGAGAACCAGAAGGCUUUACACAAAGCCUUCUAUAAUUAGUAUAUGGAAAACUAGUUGGCAAAGAAAAAUGUUGGGCUCUUUCUCCUUUUCCCUUACGAAACAACCCCAAACCAGUCCCAGGUGUCACUGCUGGAGCAGAACUACAGAGUGUGAAUGUGACCCAUGGUCCAUUAGAACAUUACACACACAUUUAAUAUGCCAAUGAAACCUGUGAGACCUAAGGUUCCAGGUAAAGGACAUACAGGAGAAAUCUGAGCUACUAGACAACUGUCCAAAUUUUAAUUCUCUGUUGACACUUGAGCUAUAUAGAACUAGCUUUUCUUAAGUUUGCUUCCUCUCUUGGAAAUUUGUGAUCUUUUAAUAAACUACCUCUGCUCAUUUGGCAAUUUUGUCUCUGCUCAGUUCUUCAUUGGUGAAUCUUAGAAUCUAGACCCUGGCAUUGCUGUCAGCCUCUCUCAGUACUGUUCCUAUGCCAAGCAAUCUCCAUUGUCUUCAUCUUUUUGCUGAGGGAAUUGAGGCUCCUGUAUGUUAGGAGAGAGCUCAUUAAGAAAGGGCCAAGAUAACAAAUUUGAGAGUCAGUGAGUGGCUGUUCCAUUUUUUUUUAAAUACACAGCCUGGAUGUCACCACCCGCAGUGUCCUGUUUGCUUCCAACCCACCAGGUAGACAAUUUACAGGUCCUUUAGAAGUCUAAAGGCAGAACUGUAAAAAUGAACCAAUUACUGUAACUAUUCUCAAGCCUCUCUGUGGUCAAGCAGAAUCCCCCACUUCCUGCUUGAUUUCUUUGCAGUGUUCAUCACCUCAGGACUGAGUGGAGGUAAGUCAUUCACGAAAACACAAUUCAACAUCUGAAGUCUCCACGUAAGUGGUGCUCGAUAUGCAUUUAACAAAGAGCGUGGUGGAAGCUGGAGAAGAUGAUUGGAAAGUGACCUCAUCAAGCACAUUUGAUGGCAAACAUUUCAACACAAACACCCCUCCCCCCAAUCCAUCUCUGUGUAGAUUAGUUCCAGGAAUCCCUGAUAGAAAUCAGAAUGCUCAUGUGUUUUAUACACAACUGAGAGGCCAAUGGAGGCAGUCACCCAGAAUCUGAAAGUGUCCAGAGAAGCUGGGGAGUCUUUGAGGUCUAUAGAAAAUGCAGUACGUGAAUAUAAAGCACUAAUGUUUCAAAAAGAGCCUUGCACAGUUGAGAAACUCACUGAAGUAUUCAUUUAUAUUCUUU
rnacentral:sRNA from 1 species